rnacentral:tRNA from 1 species
GUCGCUGUGGCUUAGUUGGUUAACGCCCCUGUCUCAUACGCAGGAGAUCCUGCAUUCAAAUUCCAGCUGUGCCU